rnacentral:rRNA from 1 species
CGGACGGGUGAGUAACGCGUGAGAAUCGGCCCUCAGGUUGGGGACAACCAUUGGAAACGGUGGCUAAUACCGAAUAAGCCGAAAGGUGAAAGAUUAAUUGCCUGGGGAAGAGCUCGCGUCUGAUUAGCUAGUUGGUGGGGUAAAGGCCUACCAAGGCACCGAUCAGUAACUGGUCUGAGAGGAUGGCCAGCCACACUGGGACUGAGACACGGCCCAGACUCCUACGGGAGGCAGCAGUGGGGAAUUUUCCGCAAUGGGCGAAAGCCUGACGGAGCAAUACCGCGUGAGGGAGGAAGGCUCUUGGGUUGUAAACCUCUUUUCUCAGGGAAGAAAAAAAUGACGGUACCUGAGGAAUAAGCAUCGGCUAACUCCGUGCCAGCAGCCGCGGUAAUACGGAGGAUGCAAGCGUUAUCCGGAAUGAUUGGGCGUAAAGCGUCCGCAGGUGGCGAUUCAAGUCGAUUGUCAAAGCUCCCGGCUCAACUGGGAACAGGCAGUGGAAACUGAACAGCUAGAGUGCGGUAGGGGUAGAGGGAAUUCCCGGUGUAGCGGUGAAAUGCGUAGAGAUCGGGAAGAACACCAGUGGCGGAAGCGCUCUACUAAGCCGCAACUGACACUCAGGGACGAAAGCUAGGGGAGCGAAUGGGAUUAGAUACCCCAGUAGUC